UUUCCGUAGGUGAACCUGCGGAAGGAUCAUUAUUGAGUUUUGAAGUGGGCUUGAUGCCGGAGUCUUUACCUAUGCAUGUGCUCAGCCCCACUCUCAAAUCCACUCAACACCUGUGCACUUUCAAAGUUGUAGUCCUCCGUAAUGGGUGCUGCAGGUCUUUAUGAUCUGUUGGGACUGCGCUUUGCCCUUUAUCACAAACUAUAUGCAUUGUCUUGUAGAAUGUUAGCCUCAUAGUGGGCGAAAUUUAAUACAACUUUCAACAACGGAUCUCUUGGCUCUC
rnacentral:misc_RNA from 1 species